CACGUAGGGUGCAAGCGUUAAUCGGAAUUACUGGGCGUAAAGCGUGCGCAGGCGGUUGUGUAAGACAGAUGUGAAAUCCCCGGGCUCAACCUGGGAACUGCAUUUGUGACUGCACAGCUGGAGUGCGGCAGAGGGGGAUGGAAUUCCGCGUGUAGCAGUGAAAUGCGUAGAUAUGCGGAGGAACACCGAUGGCGAAGGCAAUCCCCUGGGCCUGCACUGACGCUCAUGCACGAAAGCGUGGGGAGCAAACAGG
rnacentral:rRNA from 1 species